GCUCUUCAAAAGUCCGACGUUAGCCCCUAUAUGGGUGUUGCCGUCUUCGGGCGGCUAUGGCGAUAAAUGAUGCCGUGAAAUAGGUACAGCGGACCCGGGGGCGGUACCCGGCGGCUCCACCAGUUUCGCCGGGCAGGCUAUAGCGGCCUGUCCGGACAUGGGGCCGAACUAGGAUCGACGUGUGCUGAAAGACGGUUUUCUUCGCCCGGCCUGAAUGCGCCGUAAAACCGUUCAAAACCUACAAAUGCCAACGAUAACGAGGCAUUCGCGAUCGCCGCGUAACUAAAGCCCUUCGGGGAAUAGGUUACAAAGCUUAGCG
rnacentral:tmRNA from 1 species